rnacentral:tRNA from 1 species
UGGGAUGUCGUCUAACUGGCAGGACGAUGGUCUUUGAAGCCAUCUGUCGAGGUUCGAAUCCUCGCAUCCCAG